rnacentral:tRNA from 1 species
AGCUAUGAAUCAGCAUUAGCCUUUUAAGCUAAAGAAAGAGGGAUCCCCCCCCCUCCUUAAUGAU